UCUUCUCUUUUCCUCCUCAACGCCGAAGCUUCUUCCUUCCCCUGACCCUUCUUCUUCUCCUCUCUUCUCAUCGCCACCCAACGACGCCAAUUUCCUCUUUUCCUCUUCUCUUCCAUCUCUGCACGUGCCUGUAUCCGUGCCCUAGCCAUUAUCUUGGCCGCAUUUUCUCCUCUUCUCGCGUCGCUCUCGGUCGCCACCGCUGACAGUGGUUGCCAGCCAUCGGGCACCACCCGAUCGCCGUCGCUAGUCGAGUGUCACUUGACUUUCCCCUCUCCUGGUCGUGGACACCAGGAGCUCACCGGAAGAUCAACUAUCCAAGCCGUGCCCUAGAUUUGGUCUCUCACCAACGCAUCUCUGCGCUGGUUGGUUUUCGGCUGAGAGCAAGGUUUCAAGCACUACCUCUUGUUGGUGGGCGUUGGUGCCAUCGUGCCUUAGCCUCGUAAUUCUUCUAAUCUCGUCUUCUCCUCACCACUACUGCUAGUAGCUAGCCGCCGAUUGCCAGUCUCGAUCAAUGUCGCACUAAACCACCGGAGAGGGAGGAGGUCAGCGAUUGAUUUGGGCCACUCUACCUACCUCCGACCACUAAUUUCUGACAGCAAGCUUCUCUGGUCAUGGGUCAACGGCUGUGCGAUUGGAUUUGGGACUUUGAUUCGAGACGAGUGUCUCGACAUGGGAUUGGUUUGACAUGAUCUACGUAUAAAGGCGGGUACCUUGACUUAUCUUUUGAUAUUGUCAUCUGAUAUGCUUAGUAGGUUAUAACUUGCAGUAAUAGUUAUGUUUGUUUCUGUUUGGUAUGCCACUACUUGAUAUAUGUAGCAUGCCUUAUUUGUUGUUUGCUAUAUUUCCAUUCUUAUGCCCUCUUGAUUAUUGCUAUGUGUAUUAUGUUCAUAGAGGUAGUGACGUCGUACCAUGCCUUAUGUACAAGACUAGUUAUUUUCUAUACCUGUCAAGUGUGCCUAGAUCAUUUUAUUGGAUCCGUUUACUUUUUGGUACAUACUUUAUGGAUAUGGACAUGGUCAGGAUUUUCAUGCUUAGUGUCAUGCAUCAUUUUACAUGAUUGCAUGCUGAGCGAUUGCCAGCUCCAUUAUUAUUGAGCACAUCACUUCAGUUAUAUAGAUCUACACACACAACCACUCAUGGG